CUGGGGCUGAAGUCGGUCCCAAGGGUAUGGCUGUUCGCCAUUUAAAGUGGUACGCGAGCUGGGUUCAGAACGUCGUGAGACAGUUCGGUCCCUAUCUGCCGUGGGCGUUGGAUGAUUGAAGGGAGUUGCUCCUAGUACGAGAGGACCGGAGUGAACGAACCUCUGGUGUUCGGGUUGUCACGCCAGUGGCACUGCCCGGUAGCUAAGUUCGGAAUCGAUAACCGCUGAAAGCAUCUAAGCGGGAAGCGAGCCCUGAGAUGAGUCAUCCCUGACCCCUUGAGGGUCCUAAAGGGCCGUUGGAGACCACAACGUUGAUAGGUGGGGUGUGUAAGCGCGGCGACGUGUUGAGCUAACCCAUACUAAUUACCCGUGAGGCUUAACCAUACAACACCCAAGAAGUGUUCU
rnacentral:rRNA from 1 species